rnacentral:rRNA from 1 species
UCUUUUGAAUUAAUUUAAGAUCAGGCCUGCCCAUUGAUUUAAAAAUUAAAAGGCUGCGGUAUUUUAACUGUACGAAGGUAGCAUAAUCAUUUGUCUUUUAAUUGGAGGCUAGAAUGAAUGGUUUCAUGAAAAAUAAUCUUUCUUUUUUUAAAUUAAUUGAAUUUAAUUUUUUAGUUAAAAAGCUAAAAUUUUUUUAUAGGACGAGAAGACCCUAUAGAAGUUAACUUUAUUUAGAAUAUUUUAUUUUUUGAUUUUAAAAUAAUUUUUUUGAAUUUAAAGUUUUGUUGGGGUGACAUUAAAAUUUAUUUAACUUUUAUUAUAUUUUUUCAUUAAUUUAUGUUUUUUUGAUCCUUUAUUUUUGAUUAAAAGUUUAACUUACCUUAGGGAUAACAGCGUAAUUUUUUCGGAGAGAUCAUAUC